GCAAUGAAGACCCAGCAGCUGCUCUUAAUGAACAAGAGUUGGAGAAACAGAAACUGCUGUUCCACCAGGCGAGACUGUCCAACAGAGGCGUCAGCGAGAUGGUGUUGUUGCACGUCUCUGCCGCCAGAGGUCAGCCCAGCGACAUGGUCAUGAACACGCUCAAGUUGGGCAUCUCCAUUCUGCGCGGCGGCAACGUGGACGUCCAGGCGGCUAUGCUGAACUACCUGAAGGAGAAGAAAGACGCUGCGUUCUUCCUGUCCAUUGCCGGCCUCAUGAACUCCUGCUCCGUGCUCGACCUGGACGCCUUCGAGCGCAACACGAAGGCAGA